CGUCAAGUCAUCAUGGCCUUUAUGCCCAGGGUGUCACACGUGCUACAAUGGGGCGUACAGAGCGAAGCAAGACCGUAAGGUGGAGCAAAUCGCAGAAAACGUUCCUCAGUUCGGAUUGGGGUCUGCAACUCGACCCCAUGAAGCUGGAAUCGCUAGUAAUCGCGGAUCAGCACGCUGCGGUGAAUACGUUCCCGGGCCUU
rnacentral:rRNA from 1 species